rnacentral:rRNA from 1 species
AGUGAACGCUGGCGGUAGGCCUAACACAUGCGAGUCGAACGGCAGCACAGUAAGAGCUUGCUCUUACGGGUGGCGAGUGGCGGACGGGUGAGGAAUACAUCGGAAUCUACUUUUUCGUGGGGGGUAACGUAGGGAAACUUACGCUAAUACCGCAUACGACCUACGGGUGAAAGCAGGGGAUCUUCGGACCUUGCGCGAUUGAAUGAGCCGAUGUCGGAUUAGCUAGUUGGCGGGGUAAAGGCCCACCAAGGCGACGAUCCGUAGCUGGUCUGAGAGGAUGAUCAGCCACACUGGAACUGAGACACGGUCCAGACUCCUACGGGAGGCAGCAGUGGGGAAUAUUGGACAAUGGGCGCAAGCCUGAUCCAGCCAUACCGCGUGGGUGAAGAAGGCCUUCGGGUUGUAAAGCCCUUUUGUUGGGAAAGAAAAGCAGCAGGUUAAUACCCCGCUGUUCUGACGGUACCCAAAGAAUAAGCACCGGCUAACUUCGUG